rnacentral:lncRNA from 1 species
AAAUAUCUGUUUACAAAUUAUUACAGGCCAAUGAAUGAAUUACAUAAGUAGAAAUAGAAAAUCAAGAAGCUAUUUUAUAUGGAGCCUUCAAUUAGGCCCAGAUUUUCCAAAGUCUCCAAUGUCCUCAUAUGCCUCAAUUUCAUAGACAAAAUCAGAGUCUAGGUGCAUCAAAGUUCCCUAAGGAUCUCAAGGAUCCCAGACAGUGCUUACACCUAGACUUAGCAACCAAGAAUUGAGCAAGUGCAGUGUAGAAAAGCCAGCCUCAAUAUAUCAAAGUUCAGAGGGUUGUCAAAAGGAUCCCAAGGCAGUACACAUACUAGAUGGGGCAGAACUUAUUGACUAAGAGUAGAGUGAGAAGUGAUGGACACAAGUUGAAAAGGUUUUAGUAAGAAACUGUACCAAACAAAAGCCAUUUUUGAAAGUAAUUCAGUAAAGCAACAGAGAUUGUUUGAAAAAGAGAGUAGAAUAGUUAACAAAUUCCAAACAUCUUAGGAUAGGUUCAUACACAGCUAGUUCACAGAAUCAAGUAAAUUUAGUAGCCACACACAUGGGCCGAGGAGUUUGGGACACAUAGAACAUUUGGCUGCAAACACAUAACCCAACAAAGGUGUAGGACUAGUUUAGACAUGCUCAGAAACAGUUGACACUCGCAUAGUCACAAAACUAGACAUUAGAGGAGUGAUAGAGAUUAGGGAUUCACGGGAUAUAGUAUGGUAAGUAUACAAUAAGUAAGAGACAGUCAGGAAGACAUGCUCAGAGACACACAUAAAGGGGAAUAUACUAAUCUAAAGGAAAGGGAAGACAUAACAACAUGCUAGGGAUGUAUUCCGAACUACAAGUUUCACAAUAGAACCACAAAUAGAAGCAAACCAGAAACAAGAAGAACUGAAAUAAUAAGAGAAUCAUGUUAUUAUUGGAACUCUGAAUUGAAAGUAGGACAUACCAGUGAAGAGGAGAGUAAGCAGAAUGAAAAAACAAGAAAGCACAAUGGUUAGCCUUGGCUUGCAGUGGGCUAACCUAGACAGUAGCAAAUAGCAAAAGAGAGAGAGUAGGUAUUUUUUAGUAUGAGAGAUGGUUUUGAACCCCAAGUGUUCGUGUGUUGUGCUAAUAAAAGAUCAUAGUACUUAUAGUUUGAAAACAUGUAGUAAAUAAGGUAAAAAUCAUAGUAGAAUGGUAAUUAAGGAUUUUAGAAUCAUUCAGUUUGAAAAUCAAGGCAAGUACUCCCUUAAGUUAAGGGAAUCAAUUCAAACGGUAAGAACCAAUAUCAUAUAAGGCAAGAAAAAUCAGUACAUGACUAAUAAGGAAAGAAUCAAAGUUUAGUAAGGAUGGGGUAGUCAAUUAGGACUAAGUUCAGAAAAUACUAAUUAAGGAAAUAAUUCAGUGAGAAUAAAGUACCACAGUAAGUAAGGUAGGGGAUCAGUCGAUUCAAAUAGACGAGGUAGAAUUUUAGGGUUUUAAAAGAAAAUCUUUCAAUCAGCCCAUCAAAUAAGGAAAUCAUAAUAAAUCAAGAGAGAGUUAUGAUUCUAUACUUCAACAUAUAAAUAGAGAAGAACAAACAGGCAUAGUAAACAGGCAAGGUCAACAAUAUCAAUAGAAAGAGGCAUGAAAUGAACAAUCAAGAUGAACACAAUCACACAUAGGUGAUAUAAGUAGACUUAGGACUCAAUAAAACCCAUUCGAAGCAUCACAUAAGCUUAGCAAGAAUCAAGUGGUCAGGCUAACAUACAGAACCAAGACAAAGAAGAUCUUAAAAAUUAGGGCUUUUAACAUAAGUGAGUUAAAAGCAGUAAUAACAUAGAAUAAAUCAAGAUAAUCAAGGAAAGAUGUUUAAACAUAAAGAAAAAUCAAUUUAAACAAGUGUAGAACAAACAACGAGAAACCCUAACUUUAAAGAAAGUAAAAACGGCUUAAAGUUGCUGAUUUUUAAAGAGAGGUUUGAAAGCAUAGAAAGAAAGAAACUUGAGUCCUUAAAAAUUCAUAGAUCUAAGAGACUCAAACAAAAGCUAGGGUUUCAAAGGAAACCCAAAGAGAAUUGGAAGAACCUGCUAUAAACUUCAAAGAUUGUAACAAAUAUGGUGUAAUUUUGCCCCAUAAUCACACCAGAGAAGCAAUGAACAACCAAAACAGCAACCUUAGACACAAGUCGGCAUGGACUAGGGCCCUUGAAGGCCUCAUAGAUAAUAAGCAAGGCGAGGGGGAACCAUUGAAGGCUUGGGGUUGAAAGGUGGUCGCCGGAGAACACCAAAGAAAGGAGACAAUUGACAACUACUAGGGUUAGGUUGAGAGAAGGGAGGAGAUGAAAGGAUUUGAGGGCGGAAGAAUCUCAUAAAUGAGAUAGGGUUAGGGGUCGUGCAAAUUAAAAAAGGUAAGAGGUCGUAUGGACCGUUGAUCUAGGGGAUCAACGGCCAAGAUUCGAUCGGGUAGGUGCGUGCCGGGUUUGGGUAGGUGUAUAUAGGGUCUGGGUUGGGUUAAGUGGAUAUGAAAUUGGGCUGGGGCAUGGGUUCAAUUUGCGCUACAAUUGAAAGCCAAAUCUGACUAUAAUUUAAAUAGCCACUUUUCCCUAUUUAAUUUAUAAUAAGUAAUGAAUAGUUUUCUAAAAACUAAUUUUAUGAGCCAAAAUGAUUUAAAACAUACAAUUAUCAUUUGAAAAAUAUAGGGGUCUAUUUUACGCAUAUAAAAU